AAAAGGAAUUACUUGAGAAUGAAUUCUUUUGUGUAUGAUUCGUUUAAAUAACUUGUGUUAGCUAGAGUUGUUGAUAGUCUCAAAAUAGUUGAGACAUCAUCAAUAAGCUAAUGGAUCUUAAUGAUUGUCAAUAGAUCCAAGACAAGUUAGUGGGAGCAAUAUGCAUUCAAAUCAAGAAAAUAUAAUUGUUAAGGUUUUGAAUGAAUGCUGAGUUACAACAAGGCCAGUGGGAGUGAUAUCAUAAUUUGAGCAACAAGAUAUGAAUAAAGUCUAUUUGAUAGACUUGAUAAAACAUAGAUGUUACUCAAAAAAUGACAAAAUUGUGACAUGGUCAAUUUUGAAGUAUAGACUUGAAAUUGGACUUAAUGAUAUAGCAAGGCUAUCUCAAGAAUAUUUAAAUGGGGAAAUUAAAUCUCAAAUGUUGAAGAUUUAAGAAAGCAUUUUCCUAUAUGAUAGAAAAUCACUUUCGUAACCCUUAUAAUGAAUGUGUCACAAAAUCACAAAAGGGACACAUGUAUGGACUUGUGAGUAGAUAUCCAAAAGUGAAGAACCACAGGGGUUGUCACUUUAAGAUAUUACUAUAUCCCAGGAUCAGAACCAAAGCAACUGAUAGAGUAUUAUUGCCUUUAAGAAAGGAACAUCAGAGUGGGACUCUGGAAGCGUGCGUUCACUUAGGUUAUAAACCAAAGUGAAAAUAAGCCAUUUUAACAAAUGGAACUUCAUAAUGGAUGAAGUACUAAUCAUAUGAAUGUAUUGUAAGUAUUGUACUACA
rnacentral:lncRNA from 1 species